UACGUAGGGGGCUAGCGUUGUCCGGAUUUAUUGGGCGUAAAGAGCGUGUAGGCGGCCAGAUAGGUCUGCUGUGAAAACUCGAGGCUCAACCUCGAGAUGUCGGCGGAAACCAUUUGGCUAGAGUCCGGAAGAGGAAAGUGGAAUUCCUGGUGUAGCGGUGAAAUGCGCAGAUAUCAGGAAGAACACCCGUGGCGAAGGCGGCUUCUGGACGUACUGACGCUGAGACGCGAAGCGUGGGAGCGAACAG
rnacentral:rRNA from 1 species